rnacentral:rRNA from 1 species
UACGUAGGUGGCAAGCGUUGUCCGGAAUUAUUGGGCGUAAAGCGCGCGCAGGCGGCCUUUUAAGUCUGAUGUGAAAGCCCACGGCUCAACCGUGGAAGGUCAUUGGAAACUGAAAGGCUUGAGUACAGAAGAGGAAAGCGGAAUUCCACGUGUAGCGGUGAAAUGCGUAGAUAUCUGGAGGAACACCGGUGGCGAAGGCGGCAUCCUGGACCAAUACUGACACUGAGGAGCGAAAGCCAGGGGAGCAAACGGG